UCUUGUCGCAGUGUCGACUAGCCAAAGCGAGCACUAGCCCCAUCCACUGUAGGUAGGCCUCUUUUUCUGAAUCUGCUCCCUAAUGCAGUAUCCCAUGCUAUGAUUAGUAUAAGUGAAAAUACUGAGCCAAGCAUGGCAGUACACUCUUGUAACCUCAGCGUUUGGGAGGACAAAGUAAGAAUGUGAGUUUAAAAGUCAUCCUGAGUU
rnacentral:lncRNA from 1 species